AAAAACUGGUUAGUGUAUUUGGCAUUAUAAACAAACCAUUACACCAAGAUCAUAACUUGUAUAAGCAAACUAGUCGCAAAAGAUUCUAACGAGAGAGAGAUAUCACUGACCUGCCAUAGGGGGAUUUACCAAUGGAAAGAGUGUUAGUUAUCUUGGCUCCAGCAACUUGCUCUAACCAAGGUAAGAAAUCAAUGCACUCCUUAUCCAAAGCAGCCUAAACAUAUAAUGACAUCAUUCAUACAUUAAUCAGCUUUUCAAUUCAAGAACUCAACACUUUCAUCUUUCCUCUUAGUUCUACGUUUCCUAAUAGAACAAUUUCAGACAAGAAAACUAAAGCCUUGUCUGAAAUUCUCCAAGAAUAUGCGAAUAAGAAAAAAAAAUG